AGUAAAGAUCGCCCUUCUUCUUGAUUAAUUAAUUAACAACAAUUAUCUGCUCUUUAUAAAAUAUAAUGCAAGACUUUGCUGCAUCUUUACCUUUAAACUGGAAUAAGACAUUUACAUAGUGUUAAAAAUGGAAGAAAAUUAAGUUAAGUGUUUAAUUAAAGACAACGUGCUGUUGGCGUGCCAAGUGAUAUUAUGAAAGUGUUUUGCAGUCUAGUAAAGGAAUGUUGGGGCAAAAUUUCUUCAAAAUUUGACUUUGGACACAUUUAUUAAGUCACAGUAUAACAAAUGCGCACUUAAACAAUUGGCAGGUUAACCAAAAUUACUGGAUUUCAAAAAAAAAAAAUGGUGUCAUAUAGAAGUACAAUGAAAACAUUUAUAAAUGCGGACACGGUUGCAUCUGUCAAUACAUUGGACCCGAUUUUCGAUGACUCGGCCACACAUUUCAGCCAAAACUGUCGCUAUUUCCUGUUCAAUGUGGGCUAUGAGAUCUACGUCGUUUGCUUGUUGGCAUAGAUGUCGUUUGCUUGUUGGCAUAGACCAUUGACUUGAAGAAGCCCCAAAGAAAAUAGUCCAGAUGCGUCAAAUCGCACGAACGGGGCGGGGAAUCGACUCGAGAUAACACACUCAUCAAACUUACUCUUCAAUAAAACGAUCGUGAUAUGUGCUGUGUGGCUAGUGGCACCAUGCUGUUGAAACCAAAUGUCGUCCAUAUAUUCCAAUUUAGGCCAAAAAUAAUCAGUGAGUAUGGUGCGGUCACGUUGUCUAUUUAAGGUAACAUGGCGAUUGGUAUCGUCGAUGAAGAAGUAUGGCCCAAUGACGCCGCCAGCAUGCAAACCGCAUCAAACAGCUGUUUUUAGAGGAUGAAUAGUUGAUUCAUGAAGCACAUGUCGAUUUUCACCGGACCAAUAACGCAUAUUUCAUGUCACCGUAGCGCAGAGCAAUUAAUCACCAACAACAACAGGUACACCACAUGUACAAUAGAAGUCAUAAACACAUUGACACCACACUUCCUCAUAGUUGAAAUGACUUUUUCACAUAACCAUAAGAAAUUUCCAAGAUUUUCUUCUAUAUCUUUCUAUGACUAUCUAACAAUUGAGACAAAAGGUAGUUGCACAAGAAAACAUGUAAAGAAAUAAUGCUCCUGACACGACAUGCAUAGAUCAACGAUAGUAACACGCGAGAUGCCUACAUAGUGAUGCUUGUGCGAUAAUAUCCCCGCCUGUUCCCUUACCAUGUAAGAUGCAAACUUCCUCAAGCAAUCGAAUUUAUAUCAUAAAAUAUAUACAUAUUAUAUUAAAUUCAAUUAUGUUUAUAUCAGCUAUAUGUAUGUAGAUUUAACUCUUAAAGGCUGGUACUAUGUUCGUUUUUUGCA